rnacentral:rRNA from 1 species
CCUACGGGGGGCAGCAGUGAGGAAUAUUGGUCAAUGGACGAGAGUCUGAACCAGCCAAGUAGCGUGAAGGAUGACUGCCCUAUGGGUUGUAAACUUCUUUUAUAAAGGAAUAAAACGAGGCACGUGUGCCUUUUUGCAUGUACUUUAUGAAUAAGGAUCGGCUAACUCCGUGCCAGCAGCCGCGGUAAUACGGAGGAUCCGAGCGUUAUCCGGAUUUAUUGGGUUUAAAGGGAGCGUAGAUGGGUUGUUAAGUCAGUUGUGAAAGUUUGCGGCUCAACCGUAAAAUUGCAAUUGAUACUGUCAGUCUUGAGUACAGUUGAGGUAGGCGGAAUACGUGGUGUAGCGGUGAAAUGCUUAGAUAUCACGAAGAACCCCGAUUGCGAAGGCAGCUUACUAAACUGUGACUGACAUUGAUGCUCGAAAGUGUGGGUAUCGAACAGGAUUAGAUACCCCUGUAGUC